GACGUAGGGGGCGAGCGUUGUCCGGAAUUAUUGGGCGUAAAGCGUCCGCAGGUGGCUGUUCAAGUCUGCUGUCAAAGCGCAAAGCUUAACUCUGUACAGGCGGUGGAAACUGAAGAGCUAGAGUAUGGUAGGGGUAGAGGGAAUUCCCGGUGUAGCGGUGAAAUGCGUAGAUAUCGGGAAGAACACCAGUGGCGAAAGCGCUCUACUGGGCCAUAACUGACACUGAGGGACGAAAGCUAGGGGAGCGAAAGGG
rnacentral:rRNA from 1 species